AGGCCAUGAUGCGAGCAACGCCUUAGUAGUUCUUUAAACCUCUCCCAAGCUUCGUACAGAGAUUCACCAUCCAUCUGUACAAAAGAAGUAAUAUCGUUACGCAUCUU